UAUUCACCAUAGUUAAUUGAAAAGAAAUAAUGUUAUAGUGAUUAGUUUGCAAAAACAAGAGAGACACAAGACAAUUAAGGCAAAGUCGGGACAAAAGAUUAGAAGAAAAAUCACAAGAUCUCCACCAACAUCAAUUAAAUGGAGGAGACCUUAAAAAUAAGGAUAAAAUAUGGUUAAUAGUAUGAAACCAAAAGGACCUCAACUA